rnacentral:lncRNA from 1 species
GGGGCACAGGCUUGCUGGUGGCAUCCCGCACAGACACUCUCUCCUCACAGCUCCCACCACGGGGACUGGAGGCAGGAGGAGCCGACGGGCCCCUGGAACGGCCGCGGUGCGUCCCGAGGUGGGAGCCGCAAGCCCGAGGCUCGGCCGAGUCCCAGGGGACCCUAACGGAGGCCGGGCUGGAAGGCCAAGGUGGCUGCCACGUGGGAAGGUAUCCUUGACGUCCAGACAUGAUGCUACUGCAGACAUAAGAGACUACGGCACAGCUAGCAUGAAGCUAGCUUUUCCAUGCACUGGAACCAGCCAGUACUCACCAGGUUGAGCUGGUCUGGAGCUGAACCCAGCUUCUCCGAGGUCUGCCCGUGGUAGAUGCUCCUUAUCCGUUUCCCUGAAGCGACCAAGCACAGCACGAGAGCCCAAGGCCCCCAUGCAGAUAAUGGACAAAGGCAGGACUUUCGUGUUAGUGGCCCACCUUCCUCUUCCUCGACGGUGGCUCCAGCCCCUUCAUGUCGCCUCCAAGCUCCUGCCCAAGUGUUCCCACCCGCACUGCUGGGAGCAGCUCCUCUGUGUUUUCAGGGCCACUUUGCUGUCGUCCUUUGAAGGUUCUCUUGGCGACUCUAGGAAGACUCCGUGGUACAGGUGACCUUCUGUAUCUGUGGAGGAUCGGUUCCCAGAUACCCCCGCCCACGGAUCCCAAAAUCCCAGGAGCCAAGCCUUGUCUAAAGUGCCGGAGUGCAGCCUGGCCUCCAGAACGCGUGAGAACAGAGCAGCCGUACUCUGUUUCCAACGAGCCGAUGGCCAAAGCCCCGCCGUGCGUGUUCUCUAUGGACUGAACAGCCAGUGGCCCUGUAGCAGUGAAGCCUCACACCGUCCUCCAGGCUGGAAGGGACCCUUGAGUCACAGAACUUGCCAGUUUGCAAACAUGUCUCUAGUUGUAACAACUUUCAUCUGUCAAAUGAGGGCUCUUCAUUUCUAAGGUUCUAGAAGCCGGCCGUGGUCAUUUAGUCCCUCAGCUGGGUGUACUGAAAUCUGGGCCAGAGGCACAGCUUCCUCGCUAAGACACCCCCCCACCCCAGCACCCUGCACACACACACAGGCAGAGGCCAAGCUGCCUGCCUCCCCGCACCCCCUAGAAUGCUGACCACUGGGGACCGAGGGGCAGUUCCUACCUUUUACAUCCUUACAUACUGAAUCUGGCGCUGGCUCCUGGGCUGCAUCUUCUUAACUGCAAACACUCUAUACCAUCCCUCUCUGGUUCCACCAGCCACCACCCUCCUUCCGUGUCCUCCUCUGAACGUGCCUGAUAAAGGCUUUUGAGUGACUGAAUGAGUGGACGGCUCCCAUCUUCUGUCAUCUCAAUGAGUGCUGCUCCCCAGCUGACUGGAACCAGACGCCCUAGUUCCCAGGCUGGGUUUCCCUCCAGAUGUGUUCUCCUGCGGUGUCGGUUCCACCGUUAAACAGCUGUAUCACUCAGCAGGUAUGCAACGUUGAUGCGCCUCCAUUUCCUCCUCUGCAGAAUUGUGGGAGUUCCUGUCGUGGCUCAGCAGAAUCCGGCUUGUAUCCACAAGGAUGCGGGUUCUAUCCCUGGCCUCGCUCGGUGAAUCUGGGAUCCAGCCUUGCCGUGAGCUGUGGUGUAGGCCGGAAGCUGUAGCUCCAAUUUGACCCCUAGCCUGGAAACUUCCACAUGCUGAGGGUUCGGCCUUAAAAACAACAACGACAACAAAAUAGUACUUACGUCAUAGGCUUGCUGUCAGCAUUAAAUGAGAGAGUCUGUUAAAAACGCCGAGAACAUUGCCUGGCAAUAUACAUUGCAGAAUACUCAAUAAAUAUUAGCUGGUGUUAUUUCAUACUUCAUCAAACACAACCUUCGUCACACAUCGCUGUGCUUCUUAUUUAAUUUGUUGACUUUCCAAAAAGACUGUAAGCUCACGUCUGCCGUGGUCUUAUCCCCAGCGUGGUGGUCUGGCAGGUGGUCAGGGGUCGAUACAGGUCUAAAUGCACCCCCGCGAGAAUGGGCGCGCUGAGGGCGGACACGAAUUUCUUCCACCUGUGACAUUUCAAAGAAUGGUUGAAACUGGUGCCUCUAUAACAUUUGAGAAGCAGACAGGAGACGCUAUUGCCAAGUGGCUACGUGCGCAGAGGGCGAAGCCAGAGGGGAUGAAUUGGAAGCCCAACUCCACGCUCAGCAGAACGUGACCGUACAUCAGCCAGCUUCUGUGCCUCUGUUUCCUCGUCUGUGAAAUGGGAAGGAUGAUAAUAGCACCAACCUCGGAGGGUUUUCAGGAAGCUUGAAUGAGUUCAUGUUUGGAAGGUCGUCGGCAUCACGUAAGUGCUAGCUGCCAUCUGCGCCAUUGGUAAGGACAUGACACAAAGAAGACUUGAGAGAGGAAAAAGCCACCAUGGCUGGAAGGCAGGGCUCAGAACAGGCCUGGGGCCAGGCCAGGAGGGUCCUGCACCAUUGACCUAUGGUCAGAGUAUUUUUGGUUCACAUGGUCCAGGCCACUCUUGAGGGCAGGGGCUUGGGGGGGCGGGGAUUCUAGAAGCCUGAUUUGCACUGCCCUGCCCCCCAGCUCUCAGCACAAACCCUGCCCCCAGGGAGGGAAGACGCAUCCCGCAUCCCGGCCCAGCCCCGCUGCUCCUCGGGGGCCUGCUGAGGCCGCGGCCACUCCUCCCACCCCGCCAGCUCCCCCUGGGGGACUUUGUCAUCACCACGUGGUUCAGGGACCCUCCAGACCCCCGGGGUGGCUGUCCUCUUCCCCGCUGCUGCGCCUCCAAGCCCAGGCCUCAGAGGAGCCCGGCUGCCACAGGACAGCCACCUCCUCCCUGGGCCUCACCGUCACUGACCCAAAAAUGGGUCAGAUUUGCUCAAGAUUCAUGACUUUUACGUAACACUGCUGUUAAACACAGGUGUGCCUAUUUAAACGAUUUGAAUAAGAUGCUAAUAAAUGAACCCACUGCCUUGCGAUGGCCGAGCUCUCACUUCAGGAUCGCAACACGAGUGCAGAACGAAUGCCUGGCUGGCGACGGGUUAAAGAAGUCGGUAUCGGCAGGCUUUCAGGAAGGAUCCAGCACGUGGUCCACGAGGUUCCUCAACUGAUGGGGCAGCAGGGACAGCUUCCCUCACUGGUGCCCGCUCACUGCCUGACGGGGGGCAGAGUCCAUCCAGGCAACACACAAUUUCAAAAAUGUGUUUAUCUUCUUCUUCUUUUUUCUUUUUGUGGCCACACCAGUGGCCUAGGGAAGUUCCCGGGCUAGGGGUCGAAUCGGAGCUGCAGCUGCCGGCCUGCUCCACAGCCAAAGCAGCUGGAAUCCAAAUCUCGUCUGUGACCCACACCACAGCUCAGGGCGACGUCGGAUCCUUAACCCACUGAGCGAGGCCGGGGAUCGAACCUGGGUCCUCAUGCACACUAGUCGGGGUCUUAACCCUCUGACUCGCAAUGGGAACUCCUAAAACGUUUUCUGACGGGGAUGCAGUCCCCCUUUAGACUGGCAUGCCGCGGCAUAAAGGCGGAAAUGCAGCUUUCUUCGUUCCACGCAGGGCCUCGCUCUCUGGACAGAGGCGGGAGGUGGGACAGGCAGACGGGAACCUCUGGGCUCGUGGCGAGAUUAUCCUGGAAGAGAAGACCGUUCAAACCGCUUGAAGCCCAUUGGGAUCCAAAGUAAGCGGCUUCACAAUCAGCCAAAGAUAAAAUGUUUUGAAAAGCACUGAAACUUCCUAUAGUGAGGGGUUAACUCCGUGGAGGCGUCUGGCUGCGUGGAGAGGGGCCUGGCGAGCAGAGCUGAGCGGCCGGCAGGAAGGGAAGAGGCUGCCUCCCGCCGGGGGCACACAGCCCACAGGCCUCCUGCGCGUGCUGGCCAGUGAUCGGCCAGGAAGGAUGACAGCGUGGCAGCAAGAGGCCACCGCGUGCUCCGAGGGGCUUCAGAUCCCUCCGUGCCUCUUGGUUUGACCCUGGCUUCUUGACUCCUCAUGCUCCCCAGCACUACCAUGGACCAGACCUUCUAGGACCAACCCUAUUCCGCUUCCUCCAACCUCCUCUUGGCCAUGAACUCAGAAGCCAAGGACCCCGCCGACAUCCUGCUGCGGAUGGAUGGCUCGCACCGGCUGGGACCCCAGGUUUUCCUGUUACGUGUCACCGAAGCCUCUCACAAGCCCUGGAAACAUCAUCAGGCACAGGAAGUUCUCAGCAAGAAUCUGAUUUUGGUUCUCCGUGACUCCCCCUCAGGGAUUAGUCUUUGUAGUACAGUUUCCAGAGUUCCCGCUGUGGCUCAGUUGGAAGGAACCCGACGAGUAGCCGUGAGAACACGGGUUCAAUCCCUAGCCUCGCUCAGUGGGUUAAGGAUCCAGUGCUGCUGUGAGCUGUGUGUAGCUCGGAUCUGGCAUGGCUGUGGCUGUGGCCUGGCAGCUGCAGCUCCGAUUCAACCCCUAGCCCAGGAACUUCCAUAUGUCGCAGGUGCAGUCCUAAAAAGAAAAAAAAAAAAAAA